GACGAACGCUGGCGGCGUGCCUAAUACAUGCAAGUUGAGCGCUGAAGGUUGGUACUUGUACCAACUGGAUGAGCAGCGAACGGGUGAGUAACGCGUGGGGAAUCUGCCUUUGAGCGGGGGACAACAUUUGGAAACGAAUGCUAAUACCGCAUAAAAACUUUAAACACAAGUUUUAAGUUUGAAAGAUGCAAUUGCACCACUCAAGGAUGAUCCCGCGUUGUAUUAGCUAGUUGGUGAGGUAAAGGCUCACCAAGGCGAUGAUACAUAGCCGACCUGAGAGGGUGAUCGGCCACAUUGGGACUGAGACACGGCCCAAACUCCUACGGGAGGCAGCAGUAGGGAAUCUUCGGCAAUGGACGAAAGUCUGACCGAGCAACGCCGCGUGAGUGAAGAAGGUUUUCGGAUCGUAAAACUCUGUUGGUAGAGAAGAACGUUGGUGAGAGUGGAAAGCUCAUCAAGUGACGGUAACUACCCAGAAAGGGACGGCUAACUACGUG
rnacentral:rRNA from 1 species